CCAAGCAAUAUAUUCGUUUCUUUCCCCACGCUGUUACGCAGUGCGUAAUUAUGUAAAUACAAACUCUUCCGAUUUUUUAGACACGAGUUGAUAUGCAGAGCAGCCAGCUGACAACGUUUAAAUCAAUUAUAACUUUUCAGCAUCAAAUGUUCCAAAGCUUUCAGAAAACAAUAAAUUCUUUUGCCAUCCAAAAAUCACUUUGACACAACGCAAAC